UCCAACAUCUCUUCUUGUUGAAAUCGAGCCAGGGCUGACUCGAUGGAUGCAUCUUGCACAAGUGAAGCCUCUGUCGCCGCUUGCUGAUACUAACUCUCUUUCUAAUGUGAUUUAGUCCAACAGGUGCAGUAUUUUAUAUCCAAGGAAUGGCUGCUAAGGAAGAACAAUGACUAAUUGUUUCCUCUCUUUAGGUUCUCAACUAUGAUUCCAUCCGGACCUAUUGUGUUUAAUAUAUAUAUAUAAAAAAAAAAAAAAAAAAAAAGAGAGAAACUGAAAACCAUGGUGUUUGUGUUUAUAUGUACUGGUAUUGUCCUGUUUACUUUGUCUAUGUGUUGUUAUGUGUGUGUAUUUGUUGUGUUUUUAUCCAAAUAUUUCUGCUCCUACUAUACUAUAUCUCUAAUAGGUGCGAGUGCAUGCUGUCACAGAAAUAUUCAGUGCAGCUCAUUGACAUUCUGGGAGUGGUUGCUGUGCUCGUGGCUAGACAUCAGUGUUUCAUCGCAUCAUCACAUCACUCGUUAACUCUACGUCAUCUGAGAGACCUGUGCUAAAGUCUACCAGCUGAUAUAUAUAUAUAUAUUUACAUAUAGAUCAAAAGAUAUUUUUAUUCUCCCAUUUGUAGUGAUGAGGAAAUCUAUACCUUACAGGUGAAGGGUAAGGAAAGGUAUGAGAUGUUGAAAAUGAUCAACGAAAGUUUGGAAAUUAACGACAUGGUACCAUAAGGACAAAUAUCUUCAACUACUAUCUCCCAAGGGCAAGAAGAGAAAGAACGAUGAUAGAGUUUAGAGUUGGGAAAGAUGGAAGGCUGUGGUAAGUCCUCAACCCAGCAAAAGUCCAGGGGACGCCAGGGGUCGAAUUUCCUUAGGAGUUCUCGUCUGGCCAUCUUGGUGAAGAUCUUUGUUAAUUUUAAGGUAGCUGGGGUUAGAGAGGUAUCUACAGUACUAUCUGUCUGAAAUUGUUUAGAUUCUAAGAAAUCCACAUGGUGAUAGAGAUUCUGAGAAGAAGUCUACGUAUUUAAAUUAAACCCAAGUGUUGUUGAGAGAUUCUGAGAAGUCACGUACUCAGAAUGUGUUCUAUUCAUAAUGAUAAGUUUUAUUUCAAAAGUUAAAAAUUAAUAUUUCAUGGUAAGGAUCUGUCUCAUAUAUAUAUAUUAACAGGUUUCAUCUUUAUAUUCAAAAUGUUUUUGGUAAACUUUAUGGUAUAUUUCAUAUGUAAUUUCACAGUAUUUCUAACUGCGUAGUCAGCUGAGUCUGUUUUGCAUAUGAAGUUGAACUGCACGUAUUGUUCUUUUAAAUCAAUAUUUCUUAGAAUUAUCAGUAUGAUACUUUGAAUCUAAAAGAGGAAGAAGUUCAAAAUCGAGACAUUGACUAGACUAUUUUUAAAGGUCAGGUGUUAUUAGUGAUAGCCAGAUGACGACUUAUGUCUGGAACAACAGUAUAUAAGAUAGACUCUGCAAAAUAGAAUAGGGGUUUGACUUUCUGAGACUCUGGUCUCUCUAUCUUUUCAGCUCACUUCCUCUUCUUUGGCUUCACUCGACAACUCUUAGACUCAGACUUAGAACUCUUACAGGUUUUUAUUCAAAUUCAGAUACCUUGAAAUUCAGAUACUUUGAUACUUUUAUAUUUUGAUACUUUAAUAUUUUAAUACUUAAUACUUUGGUAUUUUUGAUUUAAAACAAAUAACUGUUUACGUUUUACUUACAAUUUUACUAAUGUUUUGAUUAAUACUAGUUGGGUUCAAUCCAUCAUAAAUGGAUUGUUAUUAAAAAUCUACUAACAUUGGAUUUACAUUUUCUAUAUUUGAAGGUUGUUAUUAUUAUCAAGAACUUUAUUUCCAAGUUAUGAUUUGUGGUUUCUGUUCUCUAUAUUCUUUUUAAUAAAUGUACCUAUUAUUACA
ensembl:lncRNA